rnacentral:rRNA from 1 species
GACAACCCCCAGUUAAACGGCCGCGGUAAUUUAACCGUGCAAAGGUAGCACAAUCACUUGUUCUUUAAAUAAGGACUAGAAUGAACGGCUUCACGAGAGCUAUACUGUCUCCCCCCUCUAAUCAGUGAAACUGAUCCCCUCGUGAAGAAGCGAGGAUACCCCGAUAAGACGAGAAGACCCCAUGAAGCUUUAAACUUGUACCAACCCCCCUCUAAGUACACCAAUAAUAGAAAGAAAUGUCUACAAGUCUUUCGGCUGGGGCGACCCUGGAGGAAAACUCAACCUUCGCGAUGAACGGACCCACCCCCUAAUCAAAGAGCUACAACUCAAAGAAUCAAUAAACUGACAUAUUGACCCAAAUACUUGAUCAACGAACCAAGUUACACUGGGGAUAACAGCGCAAUCCAUUUCUAGAGCCCCCAUCGACAAAUGGGCUUACGACCUCGAUGUUGGAUCAGGGUAUCCCAGUGGUGCAGCCGCUACUAAAGGUUCGUUUGUUCAACGAUUAAAACCCU